UUAGCCUGAGAAAUAGCUACCACUUCUACGGAGGGCAGCAGGCGCGCAAAUUGCCCAAUGUCAAAAAAAAACGAUGAGGCAGCGAAAAGAAAUAGAGCCGGCAGUGCCACUGGCAUUGCCGUUUUCAAUGGGGGAUAGUUAAACCCAUCCAAAAUCGAGUAUCAAUUGGAGGACAAGUCUGGUGCCAGCACCCGCGGUAAUUCCAGCUCCAAAAGCGUAUAUUAAUGCUGUUGCUGUUAAAGGGUUCGA
rnacentral:rRNA from 1 species